UACGUAGGGUGCAAGCGUUGUCCGGAAUUAUUGGGCGUAAAGAGCUCGUAGGUGGUUUGUCGCGUUGUCCGUGAAAACUCACAGCUUAACUGUGGGCGUGCGGGCGAUACGGGCAGACUGGAGUACUGCAGGGGAGACUGGAAUUCCUGGUGUAGCGGUGGAAUGCGCAGAUAUCAGGAGGAACACCGGUGGCGAAGGCGGGUCUCUGGGCAGUAACUGACGCCGAGGAGCGAAAGCGUGGGGAGCGAACAGG
rnacentral:rRNA from 1 species